rnacentral:rRNA from 1 species
AAAUGAAUUGACGGGGGCCCGCACAAGCAGCGGAGCGUGUGGUUUAAUUCGACGCAACGCGUAAAACCUUACCAGGACUUGACGUCCCUGGAAUCUGCUUGAAAGAGUGGAGUGCCUUUCGGGGAGCCAGGAGACAGGUGUUGCAUGGCUGUCGUCAGCUCGUGUCGUGAGAUGUUGGGUUAAGUCCCGCAACGAGCGCAACCCUUGUGACUAGUUACGUGGAUGUCUAGUCAGACUGCCAGACUGCUGGAGGAAGGCGGGGAUGAUGUCAAGUCAGCAUGACCCUUACGUCCUGGGCUACACACACGCUACAAUGGCCGGUACAGAGGGCAGCCAAGCCGCAAGGCGGAGCCAAUCCCAGAAAGCCGGUCUCAGUUCAGAUUGUGGGCUGCAACUCGCCCACAUGAAGGUGGAGUUGCUAGUAACCGCCGGUCAGCAAUACGGCGGUGAAUAUGUUCCCGGGCCUUGUACACACCGCCCGU